rnacentral:lncRNA from 1 species
CGAGCCUUCACAUACCAGUUUUGCUGAAAGAAUGGUCUUGCCUCUAACAGCUUUUAUUGUUGUUCGUGCCGCUGCUAAAAUAAACGAGUAGCCCGAUACUUUGCUUUCAUCGGAAUUAUUAUGGAUGUUCUUUCCUCUGUGCCAUUCUGCUCAGAUCCUGGAGGCGCCCCAGCAAACUGGGAUACCUGGUCUCCUGCCAAUGUUCCACCGAGCAUCUGUCCUGUGAGCCUCUGCAGUUUUCCCUCCCCAAGAGGAAAUGCUCUCCUGACCCCAGCUGGUGAUCCACUUGGACCUUGACACAUGACAACUGGUAGCCGUGGUUGUUUUCACCUACUGGGUAGCCUUACAAAUUCUUUUGCUCUUGCUAGCCUCCUCCUCUCCCCCUGCCUUCAAUUUUCUCCUCAUAUACCUUGCUCUUCUCCGCUGAAUCUGCAGCUUUUCUGCUGAGUGAUGUGCAUCCUUUGUGCCCGUGUAUUGCAGCUUGUAGCCCAGCGCAGAGAUAAAAUGUUUUCUGCCCUUUGCAAAAGAAAAAUAAAAAAAAUGAAAGUGUGAUUAUCAAUUCAUGCUUAGCCCUGAGGCAGUUGUUCACAAGAUGUUUGGAGCCAGCUCCCUGUGAUUCUGUGCUCACAUUCUGUUUAACUCUGCUUCCCCUUAUUUACGACCUUUAUGGUAUUUAUCUGCCAGGCCCUGAAGGCACUGACAGACCUUAAUUACCCCGGCC